rnacentral:rRNA from 1 species
AUUGAACGCUGGCGGCAGGCCUAACACAUGCAAGUCGAGCGAGCGGCGGACGGGUGAGUAAUGUAUGGGGACUGCCCGAUAGAGGGGGAGAACUACUGGAAACGGUAGCCAAUACCGCAUACUAUCGGAUAACCCAUAUGGGAUUAGCUCGUAGGUGAGGUAAUGGCUCACCUAGGCGCCGAUCCCUAGCUGGUCUGAGAGGAUGAUCAGCCACACUGGACUGCGACUCGGCCCAGACUCCUACGGAGGCACCAGUGGGUCCGAUUGAACAAUGGGCGCAAGCCUGAUGCAGCCAUGCCGCGUGUAUGAAGAAGGCCCUAGGGUUGGAAAGUACUUUCAGUCGGGCGGCGUUGCCGACAGCAGAAGCACCGGCUAACGCCGUGCCAGCAGCCGCGGUAAUUC